rnacentral:rRNA from 1 species
UACGUAGGGUGCGAGCGUUAAUCGGAAUACUGGGCGUAAAGCGUGCGCAGGCGGUUAUGCAAGACAGAUGUGAAAUCCCCGGGCUCAACCUGGGAACUGCAUUUGUGACUGCAUGGCUGGAGUGCGGCAGAGGGGGGAUGGAAUUCCGCGUGUAGCAGUGAAAUGCGUAGAUAUGCGGAGGAACACCGAUGGCGAAGGCAAUCCCCUGGGCCUGCACUGACGCUCAUGCACGAAAGCGUGGGGAGCGAAACAAGG